CUAUCAUGAUGAAACUGUAACAUGCCAGUUCUGCUUCUGACUUCACUGAUGCAGCAAGUUACAAAUAUUCUGAUUU
rnacentral:snoRNA from 1 species